rnacentral:rRNA from 1 species
GACGAACGCUGGCGGCGUGCUUAACACAUGCAAGUCGAACGGAAAGGCCCUGCUUUUGUGGGGUGCUCGAGUGGCGAACGGGUGAGUAACACGUGAGUAACCUGCCCUUGACUUUGGGAUAACUUCAGGAAACUGGGGCUAAUACCGGAUAGGAGCUCCUGCUGCAUGGUGGGGGUGGGAAAGUUUCGGCGGUUGGGGAUGGAUGCGCGGCUUACCAGCUUGUUGGUGGGGUAGUGGCUUACCAAGGCUUUGACGGGUAGCCGGCCUGAGAGGGUGACCGGCCACAUUGGGACUGAGAGACGGCCCAGACUCCUACGGGAGGCAGCAGGGGGGAAUAUUGCACAAUGGGCGGAAGCCUGAUGCAGCAACGCCGCGUGCGGGAUGACGGCCUUCGGGUUGUAAACCGCUUUCGCCUGUGACGAAGCGGGAGUGACGGUAAUGGGUAAAGAAGCACCGGCUAACUACGUG